rnacentral:rRNA from 1 species
UACGUAGGGUGCAAGCGUUGCCCGGAUUUAUUGGGCGUAAAGGGCGCGUAGGCGGCUCUGCACGUUCGUUGUGAAAUCGCCCGGCUCAACUGGGCGGGGUCAGCGGAUACGGCAGAGCUUGAGCAAGCUAGGGGGCAAUGGAAUUCCCGGUGUAGUGGUGGAAUGCGUAGAUAUCGGGAGGAACACCAGUGGCGAAGGCGGUUCUCUGGGCCUUACCUGACGCUGAGGAGCGAAAGCGUGGGGAGCGAACAGG